rnacentral:rRNA from 1 species
GAUGAACGCUGGCGGCGUGCCUAAUACAUGCAAGUGAGGACGAGCGGCGGACGGGUGAGUAACACGUGAUAACCUACCUAUAAGACUGGGAUAACUUCGGGAAACCGGAGCUAAUACCGGAUACCGGAGGAUCGGCCCGCGUCUGAUUAGCUAGUUGGUGAGGUAACGGCUCACCAAGGCGACGAUCAGUAGCUGGUCUGAGAGGAUGAUCAGCCACACUGGGACUGAGACACGGCCCAGACUCCUACGGGAGGCAGCAGUGGGGAAUAUUGGACAAUGGGCGCAAGCCUGAUCCAGCCAUGCCGCGUGAGUGAUGAAGGCCUUAGGGUUGUAAAGCUCUUUUAUCCGGGACGCGGUACCGGAGGAAUAAGCCCCGGCUAACUUCGUGCCAGCAGCCGCGGUAAUAC